CCCCACAACACUUAUGUGUAUGUCUGUAAUUUUAUUUAUUUAUAUCGAUGUUGGUUUAUUUGUACUGAUGGCUGACUUACCCCCAACACCCCCAGGCUGUAAACUCGUUAUGGCCAACCGAUGAAAUGCCACACAUAUAGAAUUUGUAAAGGUGAUCAGUUGAAUUCAGAUUGUGAAAGUGUAGCAGAAAAACAGAUGGAGUCUAAUGUCAGCUCAAGCAUGGGAGACUUUCCCCUGAAAGACUCCACACCACCUGCUUCUCCUAUACAACCUAGCAUCACCUACGGAGAAGCCCAAUAUUCGACUUAUGGCACCAGCUCUGGUGAAACCCCCAUGACAAGUCCUCGACCCCAGUCGGUUUAUGAGUCCUCACCCGGCAGCCACGUCAGUGUGCUAAAACCUGAUGAUAUUGGAGACCGGCAGGGGGACAGUGGUGUAAAUGAAGGCAGACGAGUGGAAGAUGGAAAUUCCCCAUCUUGGAAAAUGGGGCAGGGCAAUUCUGAGUAGGAAAAUUAAAGGAACAUUUCUCACAGCUGCUCACCAUCAUCUGCCGAAGCAGCUGAGUCUGACAAGCAGCAAUGGAGAGGAGCACAAACCACCUAGAAAAUAUGAUCAUGUACCAUGUCUUUCACCUCUUCCUUCCUCUUCCCAUCCAGGAGGACUGAUGGGGCUGUUUGACCUAAUUGUAGAUAUGAACCUCCUCCUAGUCAUUUUAUCCACCUGUCCCAGGAUGUGUGGACAUUUCUUGGAUGUCUGCCCCUGCGACUGGCUGAGGAGAAAGGCUCUUCCCCAACCAGAAGGCCCCAGGCUUACAUUCCUUGUCAAGAGUUUUGCAUUUUC